CUACGGGAGGCUCCAGUGAGGAAUAUUGCACAAUGGGGGAGACCCUGAUGCAGCAACGCCGCGUGGAGGAUGACGCAUUUCGGUGUGUAAACUCCUUUUAUAUGUCAAGAAAAUGACGGUAGCAUAUGAAUAAGCACCGGCUAACUCCGUGCCAGCAGCCGCGGUAAUACGGAGGGUGCAAGCGUUACUCGGAAUCACUGGGCGUAAAGGACGCGUAGGCUGGUUGGUAAGUCAGGUGUGAAAUCCUACAGCUUAACUGUAGAACUGCACUUGAAACUACCAACCUAGAGUAUGGGAGGGGGAGAUGGAAUUAGUGGUGUAGGGGUAAAAUCCGUAGAUAUCACUAGGAAUACCGAAAGCGAAGGCGAUCUCCUGGAACAUAACUGACGCUAAGGCGUGAAAGCGUGGGGAGCAAACAGGAUUAGAUACCCUUGUAGUC
rnacentral:rRNA from 1 species